rnacentral:lncRNA from 1 species
CCACAUUCAUAACCAUUCAUUUAGGAGCAUAUGAUUCAUCUCGAUCAUAGCAUCCCAAUUAUUUGAUAUAGGAAACCAAUUCUACAAAUCAUGUCUUUGGAAGACAGUGUAGUGACAUUGGCGAAUCCCACAGAUCCUGUUUCCCUGAAGUUGCAGUGGAGCAGAUCAAAGACAACGAAUCUUGACUUCCUGAAGUUGCAAUGAAGCAGAUUUAAGUCACUAACCUAGCUCCCUAAAGUUGUAGUGGAGUAGGUUAAAAUUUUAGAUCUCGUUUCCCUGAAGUUGCAGUGGAGCAGAUCAAAGACGACGAAUCUUGACUUCCUGAAGUUGCAGUGAAGCAGAUUUAAGUCACUAAUCUAGCUCCCUAAAGUUGUAGUGGAGUAGGUCAAAAUUUUAGAUAUCGUUUCCCUGAAGUUGCAGUGGAGCAGAUUUAAGCCAUCACCCUAGCUCCCUAAAGUUGUAGUGGAGUAGGCUGAAAUUUUAGGUCUGGUUUCCCUAAAGUUGUAGUGGAGCAGAUCAAAGACGACGAAUCUUGACUUCCUGAAGUUGCAAUGAAGCAGAUUUAAGCCACUAACCUAGCUCCCUAAAGUUGUAGUGGAGUAGGUCAAAAUUUUAGAUCUCGUUUUCCUGAAGUUGCAGUGGAGCAGAUUUAAGCCAUCAGCCUAGCUCCCUAAAAUUGUAGUGGAGUAGGCUGAAGAAUGCAAGAUCUUAUCUCCCCGAAGUUGCGGUGGAGCAGAUCGAAGUCACAAUCCUUAUCUCUCUGAAGUUGCAGUAGAGCAGGAUAAGAACACACGAACCAUGUCUCCCUGAAGUUGCAGUGGAACAUAUUGAAGCUACUUGAAGAAAAGAAGCACCAAGAAGUCGAAGCUCAGCAGGCCCUGGCUAAAUUGGCCCAUUUAUAGUCUUUGCUCUAUCCUCGUUCCACGACAAUGAGCAAAGAGGGGCAGCUAUAGUGAGCCAAAUAUGCCCAGGCCCGUUACAAAUAAACCAUAAAACAUAAAAUGAAUAAAACCAUCACAGUCCAUUAAAUGUUUAAAGUCCAAUUACAUGACCCAAAUCUAAAACCUAAGCCUAAUACAACCCAAUAGCCCAAAAUUCCAACCCAUUUAUAAUAGCCCAAUCCUAAGCCCAACAACCUUGGCCCAAGAACACAAGCUAGGGCAGAACCCUAACGGCUUGAUUGCGCCGCAGCAAGCCCCAGUCUCUACGCCUCCGUACGGCGCUACCAAGCCCCCACGCCAACUACCUCCGUACCCUCCAGCAUAGCCCUAUACCCGAGCAGCACCUAUACCUGCAAACUCAAAAAGACAACAGACGCAAGAAAAUAAAGAAAUUUUUUGUAUAUUUUUAUUUCUUCUUCUCUCGGCUGUAAAAGCCUGGGAUUUUUUCGAUUGUAACCCUUCUUUUUUACGCACAUUUACACAUACAGAAGCAAUAGAAAACUAAAAAAAAGUAAGGUGAUUUCCUUCUUCGAACCUCUGAGAUUAUUACAUUUUUUUAUUUAUUUCCUUCGAUUUUCUUCUUUUUUUUAUAUUUUAAUAAAAAGAAAAAGGGAACAUGAGAACCUUACCUCGUUGCUGGGCCGUCGGUCCCCUUUCACUCCGUCUUAAUCGGAGUCGGAAGAGAGAUCUGUGGCUAAAGUCGGCCACACGCUUUGAAGCUCGGAGCACUGGUCACAGUGUUUUGCGGCGGACUGGUCUUUGAGGGAGAGAGUUGAAGUGCGGCUGAUAAAAGGGGUUAGGGUUUGGAGCUUUGAG